AUCACCCACCCCCUCGUGUGCCGUGCCAGCCUUCAUAGGUGCUCGCUAACAGAACUUGCCCCAACAGUCUGUUAAGGCUAGACGGGGGGAUCUUUGUCUUUAUAUGAGGAAUGGUCGUACAAGCUUUCAGAAUCGAGACCCUUUAAUGAGGACCAUCUCAAUGUUAGGAUUUGUUGUAGCUCUGUCUUGGUGUCCUGCGUUGUGCAUUAAACACAGCAGCACAUUGUUCUAAGUAAACACAAGGGUGCAGCCCUGCAAUUGCUUUGGUUAUGCCAUUGCUGGAGGAAGGGCCUCCACUCGAGGAGUCGCCUUCUGUUACGUGACGGGAAAAACCGCUUGACGAUGGCACGUCCAGUCUGGCGAUCCACUCGGUGGCUUUCCAAGAUGCCAAGUGGAGGCAUGAAGCGCCUCCCGUAGCUACAGACCCCAGUGGGCAGGUCGGCCGGCUAUGCGCUCCGCGGUGUGGGAGUCAUGGUCGCGCUUGGGGCUGACAUCUCUGUACGGCGCGGAAGGAGUUCGCCGUGCGCAUGGUCUUCGAGGGAGGUCGUUUGCCAUGGACUUCCGGUGCUGGGUCAGUGACGAGCCGUUAGUUUCUCUUUGCCGCAUGUGUCUCACGAGUUCGUCCAUGUGGAUAUUGGGUUCGUGCCCGAAGAGUGCAUUGGGCCAGACAUCUUGGAGGAAGUGGAAGUGCCCACGGUUUACCCCAUCACACGAGCGAGCUGCCGAACGACUAACCGUGGUGAACCUGCUGGGUGGACAAAGGUUGAGAGGGAUCCAAUGAACUUAGACCGUCGUUUCAACUGUCUCUUAGAGUUCUGAUCGAAGCGGUGACCUCUGAUUGCAAGUCCACCAUGCCAAUCAUCAUUGCACAACGGAAGCAUCCUGUUAUAAUUAACUGUAUAAAAAUACACACACAUAGGCCUUCAUGCAUACUCUUAGUAUACCAUUCUUAAAAAUUUGACGGGCCCUCAUGUUUAUAUAUGUGCAUCACAGCGAUUAUAAAAGUGUAUAUUAAAGCAAUGGAAAUGUAUGUUGCGUGUGUGUACAUAUACUGUUUAUAUUACACACAGGUUAUUCGAGGCAAUAAUAACCUUUCAUUCACAUCUGUAUCUGUUAGCAUAUGCGUGCUGCCUAGGAGCGGGGCCAGUGUUUGGGCCAUGUUGUUUGCUAAGCUGUAAACCUGUCACCAUUACGAUUAAACACAAGCCUCGACUUUGUUGCCAAUUUUCAGAAAAUCUCUCUUACACGCGAUCAUUGGGGCCCAUAUCACAGUACAACGACGCAUUACCGACUCACUGAUGACCGACGUAUAGACAGAUAUAUGUGAAGAGGGUUCGGAUAUUUGAACAUGUGUAGAAAAUGACGGUUACACAGUGUGUAUGGGCGGUUCAUCGGUCAGGUUUGGAUAAAACGACCUUGCACUGUGUUUGGCUUCUAUGGGAUUUAUGUGAUAGAUUUUUUUUCAAUGAAAAACUGUAGAUUGACAAAUGAGUAUGAAAAAGACAAUUACAGGAGAACUCUUAUUUAGCGGUCCUAUUAUCCGCGACUCCGACUAUCCACGGCACCUGUAGGGUACGAGAAAACCCCUAUUAUCCGUGACCCUAUUUCUUUAUGUUCUACGCAGUUUUACCCACAAUGCACAGCAACGCAGUUUCCUAAAACUUGCGAUUUAUUCCGCGGAUAAGUUGUGAAGCAGUUUAAUCCGUAUUAUUCAUCGGGGUUAACAAUGAUGAGAAGAUAAUAUGACCUGCCGCGAUAUUGGUCGCCCAUAUCACCGCGCAUAAGAGGAGUUCUGUAUUUCUCAAGCAGAGAUCCAAUUGUGUUGAACAUUAUUUGGUUUGCCCCGAAUGUUACGUUAAUGGCCUAUGGCACUUCUGUGAUAAAAAAAAAAACCCAUUAACAUCACGUUUCUAAUGCAUGUUCAUUAAAGGUUUCACCCGUUAAAAAUGCUACAUAAUUGGUGAGAAAUGUAACGACAGUACAGAAUACUGUACCCCUUAUUAUUUCUUUAAAGAGUUGCCAAAUGAAACACAUUUAUUAAAAUAUUUUAACUUUUUUGUUCAAUAAAGGUUUUUCAUUUUUUUAAACUGUACACUUGCCCUAUAUAAAUAUAUGUAAUGGUUUUAGAUUUAAUAUAACAAAAAGAGAGAAAAUAACAUUAUAUGCUGCUAUAGUGUUCCUGUAUGCUAGAGCUUUUUGGUUGCUAAGCAAUCAUCGUCAUUUGUUUUAUUCAACUAUGUAACUACACUGUGUAUGUUAUUUUCUAAGUACAUCGUUGUGUAUAUACAGUCACUUCCUAAUUUAUAAUUUAUUUCAGCCUUGUCAUAUUUGUAGGCAAUAACAGUAUAUUUUUGGUACCCAAUAAUCUAUGCACAUCUGAACUACAGUUGUUAUUUUCAAAUUUCCACAUCGGAUUGAAGUCAUUAAAAUGUCACCAAUAA